rnacentral:rRNA from 1 species
ACGUACUUGUACUGAUUGAGAUUUUAACACGAAGUGAGUGGCGAACGGGUGAGUAACACGUGGGUAACCUGCCCAGAAGUAGGGGAUAACACCUGGAAACAGAUGCUAAUACCGUAUAACAGAGAAAACCGCAUGGUUUUCUUUUAAAAGAUGGCUCUGCUAUCACUUCUGGAUGGACCCGCGGCGUAUUAGCUAGUUGGUGAGGUAAAGGCUCACCAAGGCAGUGAUACGUAGCCGACCUGAGAGGGUAAUCGGCCACAUUGGGACUGAGACACGGCCCAGACUCCUACGGGAGGCAGCAGUAGGGAAUCUUCCACAAUGGACGCAAGUCUGAUGGAGCAACGCCGCGUGAGUGAAGAAGGGUUUCGGCUCGUAAAGCUCUGUUGUUAAAGAAGAACGUGGGUAAGAGUAACUGUUUACCCAGUGACGGUAUUUAACCAGAAAGCCACGGCUAACUACGUGCCAGCAGCCGCGGUAAUACGUAGGUGGCAAGCGUUAUCCGGAUUUAUUGGGCGUAAAGCGAGCGCAGGCGGUCUUUUAAAAGUCUAAUGUGAAAGCCUUCGGCUCACCCGAAAGAAGUGCAUUGGAAACUGGGAGACUUGAGUGCAAAAAAGGACAGUGGACUCCAUUGUGUANCCGGUGAAAUGC